rnacentral:ncRNA from 1 species
CCAAUGAAUCUUCAAGCUUCCCAGUUUGUGGAAGCCGACGAGCCAAUCUUCUGCAAUGCUAUUAAGAGGAUUACCCAUUAGAGGUUCAUAGCGAUAGGUCGCUCUAUCAGCUUGUCAAAUGCAUUCUGAAG